CGUCUCUCUUCAUUCUCUCCGAACAACAUUUCAAAUUUCAAUCAGAUCUUCGCCUCUUCCUCUCUCAUCUCUCUCGCUGCAAACUCUGCCAUUGAUAUACAACCUUGUUUCUUCAGCUUUAUCAGAUAUUUCCUAAAAUUUACAGGCUCCUUGAAAGUAAUUAACUGGUUCCAAUCAAGGCCAAGUCCGGUUCAGAAAUCUUCGAGAACAGCAGAUUUUUCGGGAGCAUCACCUCUUCAGUUCCGUUCAAGAGCCUACUCUCAAAAUCGAAGCAGAAAUCGCUAACUCGACGCUCCAAAUUUCCGUCCGACUCCGAGAACGUAUCUCCGAUGGAUCCCAACAUUCAAAUCUGCGAUCCCCCCCCCCCCCCCUUCCUCCUCUGUUUCCUUCCCCAAAAAAUCUCCUUCGAAAGUCAAAAUCAAUCCUCGAAAGGGAGAACUCGCCGCAUCAGAAGUUGAACAAAAAGUACCCGAAGUCUCAGAUCCACCAGUGAAGAGAUGGGAGUCGUGAUCUAGUUUGCUGUUUUUUUUGGUAUUUUGAUAGAUAGCGGUGAGAAUUAGGCCUGCUGGUGGAGAUGCAAUGUUGAGAAAAGUUUCCAAGGAUUCACUGUGUUGAUGAAAGGAAAUUUACAUUUGAUACGGAGUUUGAGUCAGAUUCGACUCAGGAGGAAGUAUACCAAUCAGUAGGCGCUCCUUUGGUUAAGGAUACAUUAUGCGGUUAUAAUAAAUCAAUAAUCGCUUAUGGACAGACUGGGAGUGGGAAGACCUACACAAUGUGGGGACCUUAAAGUGCAAUGGUGGAUGAUCCAUCCAUUAGUGGUCUCCAGGGUAUCGUCCCUCGCAUUUUCCAGGAUCUUUUUCUCGAAGAUCCAACAGGAACAAGGGAGUGUUGAUGGCAAAAAGAUUAAUUAUCAGUUUCGCUGCUCAUUUCUGGAGGUGUAUGAUGACAAGAUUGGUGAUCUUCUUGAUCCAACACAACGGGACUUGGAGAUAAAGGAUGAUGUAAAAAAUGGAUUUUAUGUAGAGAAUUUGACUGAGGAGUAUGUUGCCUGCUAUGAGGAUAUCACUCAGAUUCUAAUUAAGGGAGGGCCUAUCAAAUAGAAAGAUAGGAGCAACAAAUAUAAACUCCAAGAGCUCAAGAUCCCAUGUUAUGUUCACAUGCAUAAUGGAAUCAUGGUGCUAGGAUUCGUCAUCCAAGUGCUUUGGUAGCUCAAAGACUAGUAGAAUGUGUCUGGUAGACCUUGCUGGAUUCGAGAGAAAUGAUCCUGAGGCAGCCUCAGCAGUCAUGUGUUAGCAUCUCCCUUUAGGGCAGAUGGAAUUGCGCGUAGGCAAUAAUCUUCCUCCGUUGUGUCGUUGGGCCUUUUCUGAAUACUGCACAGCUUACUAAACUCAUUUAGGAACUCGUAUGGACACUCGUUCCUACGCCCGAAGAACGUCGGUAGAAUACCUAGCACAUUUGUCUUAAUAUCGAUGGACCUCUGACGUUGAUUCGUGACUAUAGCCUGGGCUGGCUCACCAUCUAGAUGGGCAGUGAACGAACCAAUCUCAGGAUCUAAAUCAACUACCUGUGUCAUGUCUCUGAUCUCUACCUCCUCUAUAUCUGUUUCUGAAGACGACUCGGGAUCCUCCCUUCCUGACUAACUCCAAUCCUCGUCACUUCCUGAACCAAACAGAAAUGGAUUUCCCGUAGAUAAUCCCGAUCUGGUGGUGACCGUAGAUGCUGUCUCCUUGACUUGCCAAGUAAAUCAAUCGUUUCUCCACCCAGAUGAGUUACUCCAAUGUCCAAACCGUGAGCCUAUGCUCAUAAACUGGAAAUAAAGAAAAAGAAAAAGAAAAAGAAAAAUCAAAACUAUAUACGCCAAAAUCUCUAAACAUAAUCAUAAACUACGCCAUCCAUCCCCGGCAACGGCACCAUUUGAAAGCUCCUAAAUGUGUUUGGUUAUAGAAUAUGUGUGCGCUUUUGUGCUAGGUCAAGUCUCUCAAGCCCAGAGAAUCCGCUAGAUCACAAGGUCUAGGAACUCAGAGGAUCCUGUGAGUCUCGGUCGUCGGACACACAAAUUCCGCGUUCAAAAAACCUUCAACCCGCUAUACUAUGAAUUAGUACAGGGAAGUAGGGGUCGAUCCCACGAAGACGGAUGCGUAAGAAGACAUUUAAAAUAUUCUGGAAAAGGGAAUUGGCUGCUGCCACGCAAUUUUGGGUUGAGAAAAUUAUAACUAGGCUGAGAAAUGAAAACUGACACUAGACCUAGGAAACUGAAAUCAUCAUGUGGGCAUGGAACAUCUCAUCUUAACUACAAUAUCUCAAACAAACUUCCUCGACCUAGUAAACGACUUCCUAAAGUAACUAAACAGAUAUCAAACAUGCAGUGGGGACCAUUUCCAGAAAAUGUAAAGUACGAAUGAAAAGCUGCAACUAACUAAAUCUGAAUUUAACAAACAACGAUAUGCACUCUUAUCACCUAAUUCAAGCUCGAAUCAUGGAGAAAACAGAGUAACAACCCAGAUUCAAACAGAACAACAUAAUUCAGACGUCGCUAAUGUUGCGAUUAAUCGGAAACUGAACAGAUCUACACCUACUAGACUAAGCAAACAGAAACAUAGAAAUGAGCCAUCAGAUUCAUGCUCAAUCACCCAACUCUGCUUCAGAUCCACAUGUCGGACACUCAAUCCACUCCGGAUCCAAGCAAUCCGAAUCAAACUACAACCAAAAACAACUCCAUGAGCUCCGAUUCAACAAAUUUACUCCGAUCAACGACAAUCCAACCUCGAUUCAACUCUGAUUCACCAGAUCAAGUGCGAAAAGCAUCCAUUCAAGUAAACAACCACAAACUCAGAAUCAAACAUAAUCAAAACUCAACACCAGCAUCAUCAUGACAGAAAAUAGAAGUUCCAUAGAUAGAUCAUUAAUAUUUCAGCAAAUACGAAAGCUGAGCUUCGAACAACGAAGACUCGGUAGAAAUCCGAACAGAAAACUAAAAUGAAAGCAGUAAAUUGUUUCUUCGCCCUGCAUAAGGACGGUGGUACACAACAUCAAACCGAAAAUGACCCCCCAAAAACCCCUAGACUUCCGAUUCCCCCAAGUGUGUGUAGAAGAGUGUGUGAGUGAGCUCAGAGCCAAAAGUCCUCCUUUAUUCAUGUUGCAUGCCCUCUCUUUUAUAGAUGUGGAGGCGAUCUUCUAGAAGCCUUCUCUUGAAAUCUCUGUUCUGCCCUCCGGCUAGCGAUCUCCUCCGCCUGGCAAUUUUUCCUUCAUUAUGCUCACUUUCUCGCCAAAUCUUUCGCAAGGCGAUUAUCUACCUUCAUUCCUGGGCAUGACGAUUCCUUCUACACACCUGGCUUAAAAGAUGUGUUAGACCCCGUAAAUUGUUGAAUUUAACCCCCUUACCGAUGCAUGAAAUUAGCCUUAUCAUGUGUGCAGGAGAAGAACUCGACGAUGGAAGAAGUGAACGAGAGGCUGCGGAAACAGUUGGAGAAGGUGAAGAGAAAGCACAAGAUGGAGAUGAUCACCAUGAAACAAUAUGUAGCAGAAAGCAGACUACCAGAGGCUGUUUUGAGGGGCCCCAUAUAUAGACAAGACUCUGAUGAAAUAGCAGCAACUCCUUGCUAUGACACAAUGCCAGAUGAUGAUCAGGCUUGGAGGGCUGAGUUUGGGGCAAUAUAUCAACACCCCUUUUAAAACCCAACAUUUUCACAUCUAUCUACUUCCUCUUUAUUCUUAUUUCAAUAGCAUUCAAUGUUUGAGUGUGGUUCUUGGCCACAUGAUUCAUUUUUAUGAAUUUAUAAACGAUGUUGGUUACAUAUGCUUGAAAAUAUAUUUGUUUUCAAGUAAUUAAUGUUGGUGUCUGUGAUAAUUUCCAAAGUCGGAUAUUCAGGCUACGAAAGAAUUCUUAUGUUAUGUGUUGUAAAUUGUAAUACUACGUGGAUCCUAAUAGACAUUGCGUAGCCCACGAAGAGAUUUUACAUCUCUGGU